UUACGGCCAUAUCACGUUGAAAAACUAGUUCCCAUACGAUCAACGACUUUGAGCAGCGCCGAGCUUGCUCAGUACCUAGAUGAGUGAUCGCUUGGGAAUACCAGGUGCUGUAAG